AUUGAACGCUGGCGGCAGGCCUAACACAUGCAAGUCGAACGAGUGGCGGACGGGUGAGUAAUGUCUGGGAAACUGCCUGAUGGAGGGGGAUAACUACUGGAAACGGUAGCUAAUACCGCAUACCCUCAGAUGUGCCCAGAUGGGAUUAGCUUGUUGGUGGGGUAACGACUCACCAAGGCGACGAUCCCUAGCUGGUCUGAGAGGAUGACCAGCCACACUGGAACUGAGACACGGACCAGACUACUACGGUAGGCAGCAGUGGGGAAUAUUGCGCAAUGGGCGCAAGCCUGAUGCAGCCAUGCCGCGUGUAUGAAGAAGGCCUUCGGGUUGUAAAAAACUUUCGGCGGGGAGGCGUUACCCACAGAAGAAGCACCGGCUAACUCCGUGCCAGCCGCCGCGGUAAUAC
rnacentral:rRNA from 1 species